rnacentral:rRNA from 1 species
AUGAACGCUGGCGGCGUGCCUAAUACAUGCAAGUCGAGCGAACGGACGAGAAGCUUGCCUCUCUGAUGUUAGCGGCGGACGGGUGAGUAACACGUGGAUAACCUACCUAUAAGACUGGGAUAACUUCGGGAAACCGGAGCUAAUACCGGAUAAUAUUUUGAACCGCAUGGUUCAAAAGUGAAAGACGGUCUUGCUGUCACUUAUAGAUGGAUCCGCGCUGCAUUAGCUAGUUGGUAAGGUAACGGCUUACCAAGGCAACGAUGCAUAGCCGACCUGAGAGGGUGAUCGGCCACACUGGAACUGAGACACGGUCCAGACUCCUACGGGAGGCAGCAGUAGGGAAUCUUCCGCAAUGGGCGAAAGCCUGACGGAGCAACGCCGCGUGAGUGAUGAAGGUCUUCGGAUCGUAAAGCUCUGUUAUUAGGGAAGAACAUAUGUGUAAGUAACUGUGCACAUCUUGACGGUACCUAAUCAGAAAGCCACGGCUAACUACGUG